GGAUUAGGCAUGCAAGUCGAACGAGGAUAUAUCCUUCGGGAUAUAAGCCGAGUGGCACAAGGGUGAGCAAUGCAUAGAUUACCUACCUUUAGGAUAAGGACAACUUUGUGAAAACGGAGCUAAUACUUAAUAAUACAAAAGAAAAUAAUUUUCUUUUGUCAAAGGGAGGGUAGCAAUACCUUUCGCCUAGAGAGGGGUUUAUGUCCUAUUAGCUUGUUGGUGGGGUAACGGCCCACCAAGGCGAUGAUGGGUAGCCGGCCUGAGAGGGUGUCCGGCCUCACUGGGACUGAGACACGGCCCAGACUCCUACGGGAGGCUGCAGUCGAGAAUCUUUCGCAAUGCCCGAAAGG
rnacentral:rRNA from 1 species